UACGUAGGGCGCAAGCGUUGUCCGGAAUUAUUGGGCGUAAAGAGCCCGUAGGCGGUUUGUCGCGUCUGCUGUGAAAACCUGAGGCUCAACCUCAGGCCUGCAGUCGAUACGGGCGGACUUGAGUACUGCAGGGGAGACUGGAAUUCCUGGUGUAGCGGUGAAAUGCGCAGAUAUCAGGAGGAACACCGGUGGCGAAGGCGGGUCUCUGGGCAGUAACUGACGCUGAGGAGCGAAAGCGUGGGGAGCGAACAGG
rnacentral:rRNA from 1 species